AACGAACGCUGGCGGCAUGCCUAACACAUGCAAGUCGAACGAGACCUUCGGGUCUAGUGGUGCAUGGGGGCGUAACGGGUGGGAACCUGCCCUUAGGUGCGGAAUAACUCCCCGAAAGGGGUGCUAAUACCGGAUAAUAUCUUCUGACCCAAGAUUUAUCGCCUUGGGAGGGGCCCGCGUUGGAUCAGCUAGUUAGUAGGGUAAAAGCCUCCCAAGGCGACAAUCCGUAGCUGGUCAUAGAGAAGGAUCAGCCACACUGGGACUGGGACACGGCCCGGACUCCUACGCGAGGCGGCAGUGGCGGAUAUUGGACCGUCGGCUGAAGCAUGAACCGCCAAUGCCGCUUGAGUGAUGUUGUCCUUAGAGUAGUAAAGCUCUUUUAACCGGGAUGAUCAUGACGGUACCGGGAGAAUAAGCUCCGGCUAACUCCGUG
rnacentral:rRNA from 1 species